AGUGAACGCUGGCGGUAGGCCUAACACAUGCAAGUCGAACGGCAGCACAGUAAGAGCUUGCUCUUACGGGUGGCGAGUGGCGGACGGGUGAGGAAUACAUCGGAAUCUACUUUUUCGUGGGGGAUAACGUAGGGAAACUUACGCUAAUACCGCAUACGACCUACGGGUGAAAGCAGGGGAUCUUCGGACCUUGCGCGAUUGAAUGAGUCGAUGUCGGAUUAGCUAGUUGGCGGGGUAAAGGCCCACCAAGGCGACGAUCCGUAGCUGGUCUGAGAGGAUGAUCAGCCACACUGGAACUGAGACACGGUCCAGACUCCUACGGGAGGCAGCAGUAGGGAAUAUUGGACAAUGGGCGCAAGCCUGAUCCAGCCAUACCGCGUGAGUGAAGAAGGCCUUCGGGUUGUAAAGCCCUUUUGUUGGGAAAGAAAAGCAGCAGGUUAAUACCCCGCUGUUCUGACGGUACCCAAAGAAUAAGCACCGGCUAACUUCGUG
rnacentral:rRNA from 1 species